rnacentral:rRNA from 1 species
CGAACGGGUGAGUAAUGCGUGACCAACCUGCCCCAUGCUCCAGAAUAGCUCUUGGAAACGGGUGGUAAUGCUGGAUGCUCCAACUUGACGCAUGUCUUGUUGGGAAAGUGUUUAGUGGCAUGGGAUGGGGUCGCGUCCUAUCAGCUUGUAGGCGGGGUAAUGGCCCACCUAGGCUUCUACGGGUAGCCGGCCUGAGAGGGCGGACGGCCACAUUGGGACUGAGAUACGGCCCAGACUCCUACGGGAGGCAGCAGGG